rnacentral:hammerhead_ribozyme from 1 species
ACCCAGUUGACGAGCUCCAAAUGGGACGAAAUGUGCGUCCUGGAU